GAGUUUGAUCCUGGCUCAGGACGAACGCUGGCGGCGCGCCUAACACAUGCAAGUCGAACGAGCGAGAGAGAGCUUGCUUUCUCGAGCGAGUGGCGAACGGGUGAGUAACGCGUGAGGAACCUGCCUCAAAGAGGGGGACAACAGUUGGAAACGACUGCUAAUACCGCAUAAGCCCACGGCUCGGCAUCGAGCAGAGGGAAAAGGAGCAAUCCGCUUUGAGAUGGCCUCGCGUCCGAUUAGCUAGUUGGUGAGGUAACGGCCCAUCAAGGCGACGAUCGGUAGCCGGACUGAGAGGUUGAACGGCCACAUUGGGACUGAGACACGGCCCAGACUCCUACGGGAGGCAGCAGUGGGGAAUAUUGCACAGUGGGGGGAACCCUGAUGCAGCGACGCCGCGUGGAGGAAGAAGGUCUUCGGAUUGUAAACUCCUGUUGUUGGGGAAGAUAAUGACGGUACCCAACAAGGAAGUGACGGCUAACUACGUGCCAGCAGCCGCGGUAAAACGUAGGUCACAAGCGUUGUCCGGAAUUACUGGGUGUAAAGGGAGCGCAGGCGGGAAGACAAGUUGGAAGUGAAAUCUAUGGGCUCAACCCAUAAACUGCUUUCAAAACUGUNUUUCUUGAGUAGUGCAGAGGUAGGCGGAAUUCCCGGUGUAGCGGUGGAAUGCGUANAUAUCGGGAGGAACACAGUGGCGAAGGCGGCCUACUGGGCACCAAUGACGCUGAGGCUCGAAAGUGUGGGUAGCAAACAGGAUUAAUACCCUGGUAGUCCACACCGUAACGAUGAUUAAUAGGUGUUGGAGGAUUGACCCCUUCAGUGCCGCAGUUGACACAAUAAGUAAUCCACCUGGGGAGUACGACCGCAAGGUUGAAACUCAAAGGAAUUGACGGGGGCCCGCACAAGCAGUGGAGUAUGUGGUUUAAUUCGACGCAACGCGAAGAACCUUACCAAGUCUUGACAUCCCUUGACGAUGCUGGAAACAGUAUUUCUCUUCGGAGCAAGGAGACAGGUGGUGCAUGGUUGUCGUCAGCUCGUGUCGUGAGAUGUUGGGUUAAGACCCGCAACGAGCGCAACCCUUAUGGUCAGUUACUACGCAAGAGGACUCUGGCCAGACUGCCGUUGACAAAACGGAGGAAGGUGGGGAUGACGUCAAAUCAUCAUGCCCUUUAUGACUUGGGCUACACACGUACUACAAUGGCGUUAAACAAAGAGAAGCAAGACCGCGAGGUGGAGCAAAACUCAGAAACAACGUCCCAGUUCGGACUGCAGGCUGCAACUCGCCUGCACGAAGUCGGAAUUGCUAGUAAUCGUGGAUCAGCAUGCCACGGUGAAUACGUUCCCGGGCCNUAUACACACCGCCCGUC
rnacentral:rRNA from 1 species